GCUGCAGACAGCUAGAAUGCUCAGUUGAAAAUAUAAAUGCUGAAUUCAUGAGAAUUUUGUUGAACAGAAAUAGGCAUAUUAACGUUCCUUAUCUUUUAAUCAAUCAAUCAACUGACAUCAAAACCAAAGCAAAAUAAACAAGAGCAGACAAAUAGCAACUGAUGCGUUUUAAUUUUUCGUCCAUAUUCCAUUCGUAAUUAUUCCAUCGUAAAUUAUUUUUAAUAGAACCUUCAGACCUGGAUAAUUUUCUAUGUCUUCUAAAGCCAAAUGGUGUUUAGCUGGAGCUACUGGUCUUGCUGUAUUUAUUAUAGGAUAUGUUCACUUAAAGCAAGAAUGGGAAAUAGAGAAACUACAUUCUGGGGUGAUUAAAGAUAUGGAAAGACAAAAAUUAAAAAAAUUACAAAAAGAACUCAACUCGAAAGAUAGAACUGAAAUUUCUAUAAAUAAGAAUUUGUAAUUUAUUGUGUUAGUACAUUCUUGCAGUCAUGUAUAUUAAUUUUCUGAAAUAAACUAUUAGUUGAAUAUUUACUCUA